GACGAACGCUGGCGGCGUGCUUAACACAUGCAAGUCGAACGAAGUGGCGAACGGGUGAGUAACGCGUAAUCAACCUGCCCUUCAGUGGGGGACAACAGUUGGAAACGAUUGCUAAUACCGCAUACUGAAGGAGGGGAUUGCGUCGGAUUAGCUAGUUGGAGGGGUAACGGCCCACCAAGGCGAUGACCAGUAGCCGGUCUGGGGGGAUGAACGGCCAAAUUGGGACUGGGACAAGGCCCAGGAUCCUACGGGAGGCAGCAGGGGGGGAACUUCCGCAAUGGACGAAAGUCUGACGGAGCAAAGGCGCGUGAGUGAUGACGGCCUUCGGGUUGGAAAGCUCUGUUAAUCGGGACGCGGUACCGAAAUAGAAAGCCACGGCUAACUACGUGCCAGCAGCCGCGGUAAUUC
rnacentral:rRNA from 1 species